GGAAGAUAAAGAAAGAGAGUUUGCUUGCCAGUUUGUUACCUAUGCAUCAUCUUAAAUAUUGCCAAUGUCUCUGCAUUUGCUUCAUUUUAUAUGAAACUGAUGAAAUUCAUAUGUAGCUCCUCCAGUUAGGAUCGUCACCAAACAAUUCAUGUGCUGCACGCUGAAGUGAGCAAUGCAAGUACCGUGCAUAGGAAGCCCAGAGUGCUUGGAAAUUGGAAGAGCAGAGUAACUUCCUGUGAAUGAGCAAAUUAAUUUAAAAAACCCACAUAGGGGUACCACUGAAAUGAUCCAGAGUCAGCAGGCAUCUGUGUUGCACGCUGCAAAUACAGCCUGAAGAUGCAUGCUUUAUUACCAGUAUGAGCUUUGGGGCAAGUCAGGAUUCAAAAACAGUCUGUCAAGUUCAGGUUGUAACAAAGUGCACCAAAAUUUUCAAUGCCUCACU